rnacentral:rRNA from 1 species
GACGAACGCUGGCGGCGUGCUUAACACAUGCAAGUCGAACGGAAAGGCCUUCUCGGAGGUACUCGAGUGGCGAACGGGUGAGUAACACGUGGGUGAUCUGCCCUGCACUCUGGGAUAAGCCUGGGAAACUGGGUCUAAUACCGGAUAGGACCGCACUUUAGUGUGUGUGGUGGAAAGUUUUUUCGGUGUAGGAUGAGCCCGCGGCCUAUCAGCUUGUUGGUGGGGUAAUGGCCUACCAAGGCGGCGACGGGUAGCCGGACUGAGAGGUUGGUCGGCCACAUUGGGACUGAGAUACGGCCCAGACUCCUACGGGAGGCAGCAGUGGGGAAUAUUGCACAAUGGGCGCAAGCCUGAUGCAGCGACGCCGCGUGGGGGAUGACGGCCUUCGGGUUGUAAACUCCUUUCGCCAGGGACGAAGCGCUUUGUGACGGUACCUGGAGAAGAAGCACCGGCUAACUACGUG